rnacentral:rRNA from 1 species
GUUAGGAAUCUUCCACAAUGGGCGAAAGCCUGAUGGAGCGACGCCGCGUGAGGGAUGACGGUCUUCGGAUUGUAAACCUCUGAACUAGGGACGAAAGAGCCUAAAGGCAGAUGACGGUACCUAGGUAAUAGCACCGGCUAACUCCGUGCCAGCAGCCGCGGUAAUACGGAGGGUGCAAGCGUUACCCGGAAUCACUGGGCGUAAAGGGCGUGUAGGCGGCAUGUUAAGUCUGGUUUUAAAGACUGAGGCUCAACCUCAGGAGUGGACUGGAUACUGGCAAGCUUGACCUCUGGAGAGGUAACUGGAAUUUCUGGUGUAGCGGUGAAAUGCGUAGAUACCAGAAGGAACACCAAUGGCGAAGGCAAGUUACUGGACAGAAGGUGACGCUGAGGCGCGAAAGUGUGGGGAGCAAACCGGAUUAGAUACCCCUGUAGUCC